rnacentral:rRNA from 1 species
AGUGAACGCUGGCGACAGGCCUAAUACAUGCAAGUCGAACGGCAGCACAGCAGAGCUUGCUCUGUGGGUGGCGAGUGGGCGGACGGGUGAGGAAUACGUGGGAAUCUGCCCAGUCGUGGGGAUAACGUAGGGAAACUUACGCUAAUACCGCAUGCGCCCUUCGGGGAAAGCCGGGGACCUUCGGGCCUGGCGCGAUUGGAUGAGCCCACGUCGGAUUAGCUAGUUGGCGGGUAAAGGCCCACCAAGGCGACGAUCCGUAGCUGGUCUGAGAGGAUGAUCAGCCACACUGGAACUGAGACACGGUCCAGACUCCUACGGGAGGCAGCAGUAGGGAAUAUUGGACAAUGGGCGCAAGCCUGAUCCAGCCAUGCCGCGUGAGUGAAGAAGGCCCUCGGGUUGUAAAG